rnacentral:sRNA from 1 species
GUGGCCGAAGGCGUGGUCCGCAGCAGGGCUCGCCUGCUUGCCCUCCCUCCUUUUGGCCUCCGCUCUCUUUCCUCACGUCCCCUCCCUGUCCCCAGGAUGUGGAGAGGAGAGGAAAUGACAGGGAACACCUGCUCUGAGCAUCGUGGGUAUAUGUCUGGUAAGGUCGACAGACUAAAUGACGUUCGGGUCUGAAGAGGAAACCAAGCCCUCUCCUGCUUUCGAAGAAAGCAGACAGCUCCAUCCCUCACAACCCCAUCACCUAGAAAGACCAGCUCUCCCAGGGUUGCUCAGACCUAGAGCUCCUCCUCAAAAUCAACAUCUCCCAGAUCUGUAACUAGAGUUUCACCUCCGUGGUCCGUUUCAGCCUAACAGCUGGGAGCUGUUAACUGGGACCACAACUCCUGCUCUGGCCUCUGACCCUCUGACCGCUAUGUGACUCUAGGAGCUGUACAGAGACAUUGUAAACGGCUCCGCGCCUGUUCCUCAGCCAACGCCAUCUGCUAUUACAGGUGUUGGGCUUUUGAGCAGAAGUUCAAAUUCCUUGAAGACAAGGACCCUCCGUUCCCUAGUGUCCUCCUGGCUCACAGUGCAGAAUCAAUAAAACUCACUGAGAGGUGAACUCGUCAGGAAAUAAGGCUCCAUUUUGAACUCGCUAUUUAUAGAGAAGCCCUGGUCGUGCCAAGUUCUUUGCUAAGCUCUGGGGUUACAAACACGAAGGGAGACUGUGUCCCCAGACAGACAAAUUAUAAACAAAUUAGCUACAUCAAAACAGGGACGCCAAAAGAGCGAUAUAGGGAGGAAAGGCUUAAGGGACCGGCUUAACCCUAUAGGUGUGUUGAGGGGUCAUAUGGAAAAGUGGUUCUCAACCUUCUUAAUGCUACCACCCUUUAAUACAGCCCCUCAUCCUGUGGUGACCCUCAACAAUAAAUUUAUCUCAUCCUUACUUUAUAACUGCGAUUUUGUUGCUGUUACCAAUCGCAGUGUAAAUAUUUUCUGGUGAUCUUAGGCAAUCCCUGUGAAAGGGUCAUUUGAUCCCCAAAGGGUCUCACCCCACAGGUUAAGAACCAGACUACUGAACAUGACCUUUGAGCUAUGAGGACUGGGGAAACCCAGUGUACAGGAUAAAAGAGAUGAUGCAUCCUCCAUGGAAACGAAGGCAUCUGACCUUGUGGUGAGAGACUGUUAUUGGACAAAAUGGGCACUUUUCACUUUACCUCUAGAAGUUCAAAGUCCCAAAAGGAAGAUCCAAGGUGACAUGAUUGCUGAGGUCAGGAAGAAAGAAAGGCUGUUGUCUCUUCCAUUGACCUGCUGAGGACCGCUAGUGACUUAAACAGGACAAGAAGAUUCUCCCGAGACCCUCAGAAGAAUGCUCCUUCUCUGGGUCCCAGACUCUUGACACCCCUCCCACCACUGAGCCUCAACCUCGAGUCGUGUCUCCUGCUGAGAAUGCCCGUCAAAGGCUGGUGUGCUCCAGUGCUCUUUCCACAGCCCAGGAAAAGAAGCUUGGUGCUGAAAUUCUGGAACGUUUGUUUCUCCCGGAAAGUCCUCUUCUCUCUGAGGAAUCCCUCCCGCCCCAUCCUUACUUCACGGGCUACUUAAAAUGAGACCAACCAAGCUGCGUCCCCACCUCUUGUGAUCACCUUUGAAAACCCAGAGCCUACAUCCUGCCACACAUGCACACGAACGAGACUUCCGUCACCUACAAUACCCGCAUGGGUCCAGUUUGGGAAGAUGCAUGGAGAUCAGUCAAACGUUUGUUUGCAUCUCAGACAUUCGCCUCGCACAGGCAGAAUGUCAAUAGUGUCUGUGCUGCUAAUUGGCCUAUGAAAUGGCUCUGUUGCCAUGACUAAGCAAACAACAUCCAGGGACAGUUAUGAUUAAAUCGCUCGGAAGAGAGGAAGGAGAGGUGGAGAGGCCGCUGAAUCAUUAGCUAAGGCCGAAGACGUUUGGAAUCCUGAGUCUGGAACCUGGACUUAAAGGGAUUUCCGAAGGAAGCAAUUUCCUAAUUCAGGCAGGCCCUGCGAGCAGAGGAGACACAGCGGCAUGGAGAGGCUUAAUGAGAACAUCCUUUUCUGAUUAGAAAUGCUACAACAGAGGUCGGCGAGCAAAAAGGGACUUUAAUAUUAAAACGCUGCAGGGUU